CCGAAAGGCAGGAGUGCCUGCAAGGGAGCGCGGAGACAGGUGGUGCAUGGCUGUCGUCAGCUCGUGUCGUGAGAUGUUGGGUUAAGUCCCGCAACGAGCGCAACCCUCACCUCUUGUUGCCAUCAGGUCAUGCUGGGCACUCUAGAGGAACUGCCCCGGUCAACGGGGAGGAAGGCGGGGAUGACGUCAAGUCAUCAUGCCCCUUACGUCCUGGGCUACACACGUGCUACAAUGGCCGGUACAAAGGGAUGCCACACCGCGAGGUAGAGCUAAACCCAAAAAGCCGGUCUAAGUUCAGAUUGGAGUCUGCAACUCGACUCCAUGAAGGAGGAAUCGCUAGUAAUCGCGUAUCAGCACGACGCGGUGAAUACGUUCCCGGGCCUUGUACACACCGCCCGUCACACCACGAAAGUCUG
rnacentral:rRNA from 1 species